rnacentral:lncRNA from 1 species
UAUACUGGAGAUAUAUACAGUCUUUAAUUUCUAGGGACCAACAUGAUUGGGCGGUUUAGGUUUCUCCUAUGCUGUCUUUCCUCAAAUGAUACUCCCAGAGAACUUGUUUACCAUAGGCUCACUUAUAGGUAUGACUAAAGAAAGUGGCAAAGCAAGCAAGGUAACACACACAGAAAAGUUCGAUUUCAAGGUCUGGGAUGGCUGUCCGAUCUCGGGGGUCGGCUGUCUGAACUUAAGGGUCCAUGGAUCAUUCUAUCCCCCAAAGGGUAAAGGUGUAGGGUUAUAAGGUAUAUAUAGGAUUACCUGAGUGGUGGUAAAGCCCCAAGUUAUUCCUGGAUGCUAUAAUUGUUCAGUAUCUCUUGCUCAGGACUUUAGAAAUACACACCCUUAAGUCUAGAGUGGCUCCUGACAGGACACUUCAAAUGAAAUACUUUUCUUUAACUCUUCACUUUAUUCUGGUCUGGAAAUUCUACUUUUCCUUCAGUUCAGAUCCCACUUUUGCUUAGCUUAUUGCAACCAGGACCAGGGAGGGAUAUAUGCUUUGGAUAGUUUCAUGAUGCCACCUGGUGGUUAUAUCAGGCAGUGUCUAUAGCAGAGAGGGAGGGUCAGUAAUUGGAAUGGUCUGGAUCUUUUUAAAAAGGAAAUGUUGUGAGAGGUGGUGGUUGACACCAAAGGAAUUCAAAUUCAAAGACUGCCACAGUAACUUCCUUGACUCACAUUUGUCUUUUAUAUGCUAUUUGCUUGCCAGUUAUUGGUUGCAGCAGGAAUUUAGAAUCAGUACAGUGCUUUUGAUUGGUCCAAACAGAUUAUGUAAAUUGAACAUGAAACUCCAAAAGUAAGAAAGUAUUU